GUCUAAGGCCGUGCCACCCUGACUACGCCCGAUCUCAUUUUAUCUCGGAAGCUAAGCAGGGUUGGACCUGGUUAGUACUUGGACAGGAGACCACCUAGGAAUAUCAGAUGCUGUAGGUG
rnacentral:rRNA from 1 species